rnacentral:rRNA from 1 species
GACGUAGGGGCGAGCGUUGUCCGGAUUUAUUGGGCGUAAAGAGCUCGUAGGUGGCUUGUCACGUCGGUUGUGGAAAACCUGCAGCUUAACUGUGGGCGUGCAGCCGAUACGGGCGGGCUAGAGGCAGGUAGGGGAGAGUGGAACUCCUGGUGUAGCGGUGAAAUGCGCAGAUAUCAGGAAGAACACCGGUGGCGAAGGCGGCUCUCUGGGCCGAUACUGACGCUGAGGAGCGAAAGCGUGGGGAGCGA